AUCUUCAUCAUCCAAAUCAGCUAAGGUUAAGUUGGCAAAGCCUUGAGCCAUGGAGAGAAAGGGGGGAAAAGACGGCAAGAAAAGGGUAGAGAAAGAAACCCUAGGGCACCAAAGUAUCGGAGAGAGAAAUCAUGAACUUUAGGUAGGUUGAUUACAUUUAUUAAAAGU